GGCUGUGAGUGUGAUCUGGCUGUGACACCUGUCACCUCAUUGACCAUCAGGGAUGAUUUGGCUGAUGUGACUGGCUAUGUGGGUAUCCCCUUCUCCCUCACCACUCCAUGUGUGUCCUUCCACUUGUUCUAUGAUGGCCACCACCCCACAGAGGAGGACCGUUUCCUCAGUCAAGUGUAUCAGGUAUACUGGUAGCUGCGCUCCCCUGUUAGAACCUCCACACAAGAUCUCAAAAGACCAGGUCUUCAGAACUCAGUUGCCUUUGAUUAAACUAUGAUACAUUUUUAAGAACCAAGCACCAUUCUAAGCUCAGAAUAAGGAAUCAGUUUAUAUAU
rfam:Fukomys damarensis contig102487, whole genome shotgun sequence.